rnacentral:rRNA from 1 species
GACGAACGCUGGCGGCGUGCCUAAUACAUGCAAGUGGGACGCAAGGGAACACACUGUGCUUGCACACCGUGUUUUCUUGAGUCGCGAACGGGUGAGUAACGCGUAGGUAACCUGCCUAUUAGCGGGGGAUAACUAUUGGAAACGAUAGCUAAUACCGCAUAAUAUUAAUUAUUGCAUGAUAAUUGAUUGAAAGAUGCAAGCGCAUCACUAGUAGAUGGACCUGCGUUGUAUUAGCUAGUUGGUAAGGUAAGAGCUUACCAAGGCGACGAUACAUAGCCGACCUGAGAGGGUGAUCGGCCACACUGGGACUGAGACACGGCCCAGACUCCUACGGGAGGCAGCAGUAGGGAAUCUUCGGCAAUGGACGAAAGUCUGACCGAGCAACGCCGCGUGAGUGAAGAAGGUUUUCGGAUCGUAAAGCUCUGUUGUAAGUCAAGAACGUGUGUGAGAGUGGAAAGUUCACACAGUGACGGUAGCUUACCAGAAAGGGACGGCUAACUACGUG